GUCGUGUAACUGUGAAAAAGUAUCGAAAUGAAAUAUUAACAAAUUAUUUUCGACUAAUAAAUUGUUGUGAUACCAAGAUUUGGGUGGAAAAAAGGUUUUGAAAUCAUUUUGGUCAUUUAAAUCAAAUGAGAUCGAAAUGAGUAUUGUUUUGAAGACCGCGUUUGUGAGUGUUACAACAAAUUCCAACCACAAACCGUAUUUAAAGGAAAGUUGUUGGUAUUGGCUGGACAUGUCCGAGAUGUAGAAGAAUUAAGAACAAAACAAGGGCAGAGUUCAAUAAUUCACGCUCUCAUCAUAAGGCAAACAUCUAUUACUUUGCCACCUUAGAAAACGAAACGGUUUUAAACUUAGGUGAAUACAGCACAAGUAGUCACAAGUGUGAAAUGUAAUUGUGGUUAUAAUCAAAGUGGUUAUGUAGAAUCGUUUUGCCAUUGACAGAUACAUCUGAUGACAGAGCUUACAUUAUUUCUACUUUUGACCACCACGAGUGCUGCGAUAGAUUGUUACCCCCACCUAGUACUUCGCACCCAGCGACGUAAGAAAGUGAUUAUGACAGGUCUAUUAAGUGAGGCGCUCCU